UACGUAGGGUGCAAGCGUUGUCCGGAAUUAUUGGGCGUAAAGAGCUCGUAGGCGGUUCGUCGCGUCGGCUGUGAAAUCCCGAGGCUCAACCUCGGGUCUGCAGUCGAUACGGGCGGACUGGAGUUCGGCAGGGGAGACUGGAAUUCCUGGCGUAGCGGUGAAAUGCGCAGAUAUCAGGAGGAACACCGGUGGCGAAGGCGGGUCUCUGGGCCGAUACUGACGCUGAGGAGCGAAAGCGUGGGGAGCGAACAGG
rnacentral:rRNA from 1 species